GAUGAACGCUGGCGGCGUGCCUAAUACAUGCAAGUCGAGCGAACAGACGAGGAGCUUGCUCCUCUGACGUUAGCGGCGGACGGGUGAGUAACACGUGGAUAACCUACCUAUAAGACUGGGAUAACUUCGGGAAACCGGAGCUAAUACCGGAUAAUAUAUUGAACCGCAUGGUUCAAUAGUGAAAGACGGUUUUGCUGUCACUUAUAGAUGGAUCCGCGCCGCAUUAGCUAGUUGGUAAGAUAACGGCUUACCAAGGCAACGAUGCGUAGCCGACCUGAGAGGGUGAUCGGCCACACUGGAACUGAGACAGGGUCCAAACCCCUACGGAAGGCAGCAGUAGGGAAUCUCCGCAAUGGGCGAAAGCCUGACGGAGCAACGCCGCGUGAGUGAUGAAGGUCUUCGGAUCGUAAAACUCUGUUAUUAGGGAAGAACAAAUGUGUAAGUAACUAUGCACGUCUUGACGGUACCUAAUCAGAAAGCCACGGCUAACUACGUG
rnacentral:rRNA from 1 species